CGCGUAGGCGGCUCUGCAAGUCGAAGGUGAAAUCCCUCAGCUCAACUGAGGAACUGCCUCCGAUACUGCAGGGCUUGAGUUCCGGAGAGGGUAGCGGAAUUCCCAGUGUAGCGGUGAAAUGCGUAGAUACUGGGAGGAACACCGGUGGCGAAGGCGGCUACCUGGACGGAUACUGACGCUGAGGCGCGAAAGCGUGGGGAGCAAACAGGAUUAGAUACCCUGGUAGUCC
rnacentral:rRNA from 1 species